CAGACGAUGCGUCAUGCAUAUCAAUAAGCGGAGGAAAAGAAACUAACAAGGAUUCCCCUAGUAACGGCGAGUGAAGCGGGAAGAGCUCAAAUUUGAAAUCUUAAAGGGUUUCCCUUUACGAAUUGUAGUUUAAAGAAGUGUUUUCUGUUGAGGUUUUGGUAAAAGUUCUUUGGAAUAGGACAUCAUAGAGGGUGAGAAUCCCGUAUUUGACCUUUACUUUCAACUUUGUGAUACACUUUCAAAGAGUCGGAUUGUUUGGGAAUGCAGUCCAAAAUGGGUGGUAAAUUUCAUCUAAAGCUAAAUAUUGGCGAGAGACCGAUAGCGAACAAGUACCGUGAGGGAAAGAUGAAAAGAACUUUGAAAAGAGAGUUAAACAGUACGUGAAAUUGUCAAAAGGGAAGCGUUUGACACCAGUGUUGUUUUUCUGAAAAUCAAUUAAAGAACUGUUUAUGCUAAGCUGUUUAGGCUUUAUCAGCUAUCUGUUUAGUUUUGAGCUUUUCUUUAAUGCACUUUUCAGUUAACAAGUCAACAUCAAUUUCUUUUGCUGUAAAAAAGCUUGAGGAAGGUGGCUUGAGAUUCGUCUUAAGUGUUUAUAGCCUCUUGCCUAUGCAGUCGGAGAGAUUGAGGUCUGCAGCGUAGAUCCUUCGGGGCUAAAUGCAUUUGUGCUAAGUUAUAGCAUUUUAUAGACAACUUGUUGACUAUGAUUUGUCUUGUAGCUUACUCGCUUAUGUUAUUUUACCUACGCUUAGGAUGUUGACACACGCGCGUGCUCG
rnacentral:rRNA from 1 species